rnacentral:rRNA from 1 species
UGGGGAAUUUUGGACAAUGGGGGAAACCCUGAUCCAGCCAUCCCGCGUGUGCGAUGAAGGCCUUCGGGUUGUAAAGCACUUUUGGCAGGAAAGAAACGUCAUGGGUUAAUACCCCGUGAAACUGACGGUACCUGCAGAAUAAGCACCGGCUAACUACGUGCCAGCAGCCGCGGUAAUACGUAGGGUGCAAGCGUUAAUCGGAAUUACUGGGCGUAAAGCGUGCGCAGGCGGUUCGGAAAGAAAGAUGUGAAAUCCCAGAGCUCAACUUUGGAACUGCAUUUUUAAAUACCGGGCUAGAGUGUGGCAGAGGGAGGUGGAAUUCCGCGUGUAGCAGUGAAAUGCGUAGAUAUGCGGAGGAACACCGAUGGCGAAGGCAGCCUCCUGGGAUAACACUGACGCUCAUGCACGAAAGCGUGGGGAGCAAACAGG